rnacentral:rRNA from 1 species
UUCCGGUUGAUCCUGCCGGACCCGACUGCUAUUUGGGUGAGGAUAAGCCAUGCGAGUUGAAUGGGAAACCUAAAGUUCCCAUGGCAAACUGCUCAGUAACACAUGAUCAACUUACCCUAUAGAGAAAAAUAACCUCGGGAAACUGAGGAUAAUGUUUCAUAGUUGAAUUGGCUUGGAAAAGUUUUUCGACGAAAGGGGUAAAAAAAAUGGUUUUUAUCUGCUAUAGGAUAGGAUCGUGUUCGAUUAUGGUUGUUGGUGAGGUAAUGGCUCACCAAGCCGAUAAUCGAUAGGGGCCGUGAGAGCGGGAGCCCCGAGAUGGGUACUGAGACAACGACCCAGGCCUUACGAGGCGCAGCAGGCGCGAAACCUCCGCAAUACACGAAAGUGUGACGGGGUUACCCAAAGUGUUCAAUUUUGAACUGUGGUAGGUGAGUAAUGUUCCCUACUAGAAAGGAGAGGGCAAGGCUGGUGCCAGCCGCCGCGGUAAAACCAGCUCUUCAAGUGGUCGGGAUAAUUAUUGGGCUUAAAGUGUCCGUAGCCGGUUUAGUAAGUUCCUGGUAAAAUCGGGUAGCUUAACUAUCUAUAUGCUAGGAAUACUACUAUACUAGAGGGCGGGAGAGGUCCGAGGUACUGCAGGGGUAGGGGUGAAAUCUUAUAAUCCUUGUUGGACCACCAGUGGCGAAGGCGUCAGACUGGAACGCGCCUGACGGUGAGGGACGAAAGCCAGGGGAGCGAACCGGAUUAGAUACCCGGGUAGUCCUGGCCGUAAACGAUGCAUACUAGGUGAUGGCACGGCCAUGAGCCGUGUCAGUGCCGUAGGGAAACCGUUAAGUGUGCCGCCUGGGAAGUACGGUCGCAAGGCUAAAACUUAAAGGAAUUGGCGGGGGAGCACCACAAGGGGUGAAGCCUGCGGUUCAAUUGGAUUCAACGCCGGG